CAGGCCUAACACAUGCAAGUCGGACGGGAUCCAUCGGAGAGCUUGCUCGAGGAUGGUGAGAGUGGCGCACGGGUGCGUAACGCGUGAGCAACCUACCUCUAUCAGGGGGAUAGCCUCUCGAAAGAGAGAUUAACACCGCAUAAUAUAUCUGACCGGCAUCGGUUAGUUAUUAAAUAUUUAUAGGAUAGAGAUGGGCUCGCGUGACGUUAGCUAGUUGGUAGGGUAACGGCUUACCAAGGCGACGAUGUCUAGGGGCUCUGAGAGGAGAAUCCCCCACACUGGUACUGAGACACGGACCAGACUCCUACGGGAGGCAGCAGUAAGGAAUAUUGGUCAAUGGGCGGAAGCCUGAACCAGCCAUGCCGCGUGCAGGAUGACUGCCCUAUGGGUUGUAAACUGCUUUUGUCCAGGAAUAAACCUUUCUACGUGUAGGAAGCUGAAUGUACUGGAAGAAUAAGGAUCGGCUAACUCCGUGCCAGCAGCCGCGGUAAUACGGAGGAUCCGAGCGUUAUCCGGAUUUAUUGGGUUUAAAGGGUGCGUAGGCGGCCUAUUAAGUCAGGGGUGAAAUACGGUGGCUCAACCAUCGCAGUGCCUUUGAUACUGAUGGGCUUGAAUCCAUUUGAAGUGGGCGGAAUAAGACAAGUAGCGGUGAAAUGCAUAGAUAUGUCUUAGAACUCCGAUUGCGAAGGCAGCUCACUAAGCUGGUAUUGACGCUGAUGCACGAAAGCGUGGGGAUCGAACAGGAUUAGA
rnacentral:rRNA from 1 species